rnacentral:rRNA from 1 species
UACAGAGGUCUCAAGCGUUGUUCGGAUUCAUUGGGCGUAAAGGGUGUGUAGGUGGCGCGCUAAGUCGGGUGUGAAAUUUCGGAGCUUAACUCCGAAACUGCAUUCGAUACUGGCGUGCUUGAGGACUGGAGAGGAGACUGGAAUUCCUGGUGUAGCGGUGAAAUGCGCAGAUAUCAGGAGGAACACCGGUGGCGAAGGCGGAUCUCUGGGCCUUACCUGACGCUGAGGCGCGAAAGCUAGGGGAGCGAACAGG